GGACUACUAGGGUAUCUAAUCCCGUUUGCUCCCCUGGCUUUCGCGCCUCAGCGUCAGCAGAGGUCCAGCAGCUCGCUUUCGCCACCGGAGUUCCUUCCGAUAUCAACGCAUUUCACCGCUCCACCGGAAGUUCCAGCUGCCCCUACCUCCCUCCAGCUGACCAGUAUCCAAGGCCCUUUUCCGGUUAAGCCGAAAGAUUUCACCCCGGACUUGGUCAACCGCCUACGCGCCCUUUAAGCCCAGUGAUUCCGAACAACGUUCGCACGGUUCGUCUUACCGCGGCGGCUGGCAC
rnacentral:rRNA from 3 species